UUUGAUACGGGUGGUCGGCUCCCUGCUUGAGCAGGCACGGCCAUGCGUGCAUUCCUUUUCAGAUGUGCGACAAGGCUUGUAUCGUCUUGAUCGUAUAAGUGGGUUUGUUGUGUUGCAUACCUGAUCAAUGGCAUCGUUAUGAUCAAAAGUGUAUCUUUUUCGUCUAGCAAUGCACCCGCAUUGUUGGAUGAACCGAGUAGCAUCCUCUUUGAUCCAUACAGUUGACGUGCAUUCGUUGAUUGUUUGGCCCGUUGAGCGUGACUUGGUCUCUUGGAUAUGGAAGCCAAAGUGGGCAUGGGUUCGCAAGAUCCCUUUACUGCCCUCAUUGAGCGUUCUCGCUUCUCUUACACGACCGCCUUUCACGUAUGGCACGUCCCAGCGUGUUUGGCUACGUCGAAGAGGAAUG
rnacentral:misc_RNA from 1 species